ACUAGCCCUAAAGAUGUCUGGAGGGUCUUGCUCUGCCACCCAGGCUGGACUACAGUGGCACAAUCAUAGCUCAAUGCAACCUCACCUUCCACAUUUGGUUAGUCUGCAUUUUCUGGAAUUUUAUGUAAAUGGAAUCAUACAUCAUGUAUUCUUCUUUUGGGGGAUGUCUGGCUACUUGCAG